rnacentral:tRNA from 1 species
AAAUUCUUAGUAUAUGUUAGUAUUUUUAAUUGCAAAUUAAAAGGAUGAGAAUUUU